CCCCCCGCCACCGCGACGAGAACACAGUGGCCGCAUCCUCCUCACACCCUUCCUGGGCUGUGCACCAAUGAAGGAACCCCCAAAAUUCAACGUACCUGAGGAAAGGAGGCUUUGCUGUCCCAUUUGUGUCGUUCUGUGAAGAAGAUAAAGAGGAAGUUUACGGACGGCUCAUGAAAUUGGGACACUUAAUAAGAGCGGAAUGUAAAGCCAUCUAAGGCAGAAGGGACUAUUUGUGGCUAAUGCGUGUUUAAAAGUGCCCUGCAGUCUCUAGCCAUUUGAGACCGUUUCAAUGUCUUCCUAAAGUCACUUAAAAAAUCAGGGUGAGAACAGAAAACCAUAGACAGGGAGGGACCCCACGAGCACCCAAAUGCCUCGGACUUUAGAGGCCAGGAUGUGUGCACCUGUGGCCCUUCGGCUGUGGAGCUACAGUGCCUGCAGGUGGUUUUUUGGGAGCCCAAUCCUGAAUGAUGCCAUGAAAAACCAGUAAGUAAAAACAAAACCUUGCUGGAUUUUGGUGCCCACAGCUAGCCGGAGAUCCGGCAGGACACUUCAGAAGGUGAGGAGGGGAUGGAACAAUGCCAGCGGUCUUUGCCUUCACAACCACCAGAGCCUGGGGACUUGGGGGUCUCCCACUGUGGCCACGGACCACGGGGGUGUGUCCUGUCCUUCAUUCUAGAAGCCUGCAGGCUUUAAAAAUUUGCUUUAAAUCUGCUCUGGCUGUUCCAAGAAAUCACUAAGCCCAAAUUUGUGAGGCUAGUUCUCCAGACGGCCGCCCAGGAGAGGGCAGUGUAACGCCAUCUGAGCAACAGGCCACCAGAGCAGCCGGUCCUCAAACUCCCAGGAUUCCCACUCUCACUUCCUGUUGCCAGCCUGGGGGGUUGAAGGCCAUACUUGGGGCAGAAGCCCACCAGGGCUCUUUCUGCAGGACUCCUGGGUGUUAGACACACAGACUCUCAAAAAGGGUCGCAGGCCCCUGGGCUACUUCAGAACUAUGCCUGCCGUCUCUUAGGACCUCAAAGGGAGACUAUGGGGCCAGCGGGGUCAUCCCGAUGGGGAACCCCAGCACCAGGAGACAACUCCAGUUAGUCCUGUGCCCCAAUUCAGCAUGUCUACUUUUCUUCACUGAUGCACAAAGCAGCUGCCCUGCUCAGCACAUCCUAAUUGGGCUUGAAAUGGCUGCAAGUGGUUUCUUCCUACUAGGCAGGCUGAGCUUCCCCAGCAGGCCUCCAAGUAAGUAAUUUCUGAGCGUAGCGCUCAUAUUCUAUGAUAGUUACAGGCUAGUUUAUGAUUUAUUUAAAAAGCUCCAGGAGACCUGCCCUGCAAUGCCUCACGUGCUCAGACCGCUGGCAGUGGUGCCCGGCCUAGAGCAGAAAGCCCUGUGCCGGGGAGGCACAUCACAUUACACUGGGAAGAGGCUUCUGGCAUCCUCCCGGCCUGGAGAGCACACUUCCUGCCAAGCCAGACUCCCCACAUAGGGCCCAUGCUUGGCCCCAGAGGCACACAGCCCUCCUGGCUCCUUGAUCUUCUCACUGGAAACCACCUUCUUGCUGCCUGUCCUCGGGCGUGGAACACUGUAUCCCUGCCAGGUGCAUCCGCAAGUUUGAGGAGAGCUCUGUGCACCCUGAACUGGAAACCAGACACACCACCCUCCUGGGGUACCUGCAGGCUGUCCUUGAGGGGAGGGUCUUGGGGCUUGUUCCCAGGAGACCCACUGAAACCCCUACCAGGUCACUCAGACCCUCCUGGGCCCUGACUGACACAAUUUGACUUUAAAACAGAGUUUGGGCACAUUUUCAUGAGCUGUGCCAUCCAAGUACUUGGCCCAGACAUUUGAGAAACAAACAUGGCGGCAGAGAUGCGUCACAGUCCACUAAAAGUAAAGUGGCAUGAAGUAACAACUCCUGCUGUGAGGGAGGACAGCCUGAAGCCAUUCAGUGCCAAGGCAAACCUUGGUCCUGCCAUGAACUCUACACCAUGGGUCCCAGCAGCGCCCAUGGGUACUGAAACCCCUACCAGGUCACUCAGAGUCCCGUCAGAACAGCCUAAACAUCUGUCACCAGGAGAAGGGACGACAGCCUUCCAUCCAGUGAAUGCCACACAGCAACAGUGUGUCACAGGAGGGCAUGCUGCACAAGGUCACACCGAAUGGGCCAUCCUGGUUUCCAAAAUCGGGCCAGUCUGGACUGUCACAAAGACAAAAAAGCAACCUAUCGGAACCUUGUGAAUAGCACACAGAGGACAGUGGUAUUUGUCUUAUCAAGAGUUCAGAUGGGUGGAGCACUGAUAAGAGGAGAGUUGAGGCUUUCGAACUGUUUCUCAAUCUGAAGAAACUCCAGGUCCUGCUGCUUUCUGUGCUUUCCCCUCUCUUCCUCCUCCCAAGGCUUCACAGUCCAGGAGGUUAGAAGGCUGGAUCGGCACUGUUCCCAUUGCAUGCCAGCCUGGGCAGCAGUGCUGGGGCUCAUCUGGCACUCAUAAAUGCUUUUAACUUGAUAUGAGCAAAUGCUCUGAUCCUCCUGUGUGUGGGUGCUGGGCAUGGAGGGUAAAAUAUGUAUUUAAAUAAAUUUACCAGGGCACCUGGGUGGCUCAGUUGGUUGAGCGUCUGCCUUUGGCUCAGGUCCAUGAUCCUGGUGUCCUGGGAUCAAGCACCACGUCUAUCUCUCCCUGCUUGUGGGGAGUCUGCUUCUCCCUCUCCUCCCUGCUUGUGUGCUCUCUCUCUCUCUCAAAUAAAUGAAUAAAAUCUUUUCUUAAAAAAUAAAUUUACCUAUAGUUUUCCCAAAGGAGAUACAAUGAAGUGCUAACAGUGGUUAUCCUGGAAGUGAAAUUAGAAAUAUUUUCAAGCAAAACAAAAAUUCCCUGGGUUAUUUUCAUAAGCAGAAAAAGUAUUACUUUAAUAAGAGCUGUUUUGGGGAUUCCUGGGUGGCUCACUGGUUUGGUGCCUGCCUUUGGCCCAGCACAUGAUCCUGGAGACCCGGGAUCGAGCCCCACAUCAGGCACCCUGCAUGGAACCUGCUUCUUCCUCUGCCUGUGUCUCUGCCUCUCUUUCUCUGUCUCUCAUGAAUAAAUAAAAUCUUUACAAAAAAAUAAUAAGAGCUGUUUUAAAUAACAUGUGAUGGCUAUUUUAAUUUUUACAAACUUGGACUUUCUCUUUAACUUAAACCUACAGCUAUGACGGCCAGGUGGAUAUAAAGGAAACCUCAUUUCAGCAUCUGUUUAGCAAAUGUUACCAUUUGCAGUUAAAAAAAAAAAAAAGAAAAAAAAAUUCACCCGUUUACUUAAGUU